rnacentral:snoRNA from 1 species
UUUCAUGAUGAACCCCUGAUAGGGACAUCUUAUGCAAAGCAUAUGAUGAGAACCUGGGCUCGGUAUUUUAGUAGAUGCUUCGAGAUUCUGAAA